rnacentral:rRNA from 1 species
GACGAACGCUGGCGGCGUGCCUAAUACAUGCAAGUUGAGCGCUGAAGGUUGGUACUUGUACCCACUGGAUGAGCAGCGAACGGGUGAGUAACGCGUGGGGAAUCUGCCUUUGAGCGGGGGACAACAUUUGGAAACGAAUGCUAAUACCGCAUAAAAACUUUAAACACAAGUUUUAAGUUUGAAAGAUGCAAUUGCAUCACUCAAAGAUGAUCCCGCGUUGUAUUAGCUAGUUGGUGAGGUAAAGGCUCACCAAGGCGAUGAUACAUAGCCGACCUGAGAGGGUGAUCGGCCACAUUGGGACUGGGACACGGCCCAAACGCCUACGGGAGGCAGCAGUAGGGAAUCUUCGGCAAUGGACGAAAGUCUGACCGAGCAACGCCGCGUGAGUGAAGAAGGUUUUCGGAUCGUAAAACUCUGUUGGUAGAGAAGAACGUUGGUGAGAGUGGAAAGCUCAUCAAGUGACGGUAACUACCCAGAAAGGGACGGCUAACUACGUG